rnacentral:rRNA from 1 species
GGANUUGCGAAUGGGCGAAGCCUGACGCAGCAACGCCGCGUGCGGGAAGAAGGCCUUAGGGUUGUAAACCGCUUUCAGUAGGAACGAAAAUGACGGUACCUGCAGAAGAAGGUGCGGCCAACUACGUGCCAGCAGCCGCGGUGACACGUAGGCACCAAGCGUUGUCCGGAUUUAUUGGGCGUAAAGAGCUCGUAGGCGGUUGAGUAAGUCGGGUGUGAAAACUCUGGGCUUAACCCAGAGCCGCCACCCGAUACUGCUCUGACUUGAGUUCGGUAGGGGAGCAGGGAAUUCCUAGCGUAGCGGUGAAAUGCGCAGAUAUUAGGAGGAACACCGGUGGCGAAGGCGCUGCUCUGGGCCGAAACUGACGCUGAGGAGCGAAAGCGUGGGUAGCAAACAGGAUUAGAUACCCUGGUAGUCCACGCCGUAAACGUUGGGCACUAGGUGUGGGUUCCAACCAACGGAAUCCGCGCCGUCGCUAACGCAUUAAGUGCCCCGCCUGGGGAGUACGGCGGCAACGCUAAAACUCAAAGAAAUUGACGGA